UGUACGAGAUCGGAAUUGCUCACGAUUUUUACCCCAUUCCUACUUCUUCCUUCCCGUUCACGCCAAGCGGGAAACCAAGAGGUUGCCAACUCUCUUCCCCCCAACUCCCGACCUCUCCCCCAACUUUCUCUGCCUCUACCUCUGCCUCUGCCUUUCUGGUGGUGGUCAAUAGCUUCCCUCUCACACUCUCUGUAGACUGUAGAGUAGCCACCAACGAGCCAAGGAUUUGCUGUGUCACAGAGGUGAUGCCUAUGGUAGGGCUGCUGCUUCACAAGAUGUGCUAACAGUGAAAGAAGAGGAGGCCACUGAUACUUCUACACCACAAAACUCUUCAAUUGCUUCUAAUGCAGUUGAUGCAUAGUGAUUUAGAUAUGUCUUCGAGCAGGUAUUUUCUUAUUCUUCUGAAUUUAUCUUCUAUGAGCUAUAAUCUAUACUAAAUUACUUGAUUUGGAUAUAUGCUCUGGGUUACUUGAUUUGGGUAUCAAAUACCGUGGUUCAAGGUUGUGAAUCUAUAGAUUAUGGGGUGGUUCAUUUAUUUGGGUCAUUUCCUGAUGUCUUUUCAAAUUUUGAAGUGGUAAUUGAUAUGAUGUUAGUAGAAUAAGAUGUUUGGGAAUAAUGGAAUGUGUUCCUAAACAAAAUUGAUGCUUUGAUCAUCCAAAUAAGGAUGAAGGCACCUUCAUACUUUCUACUAACAUCAUAUGUAGCACAUUGAAUUGUACCAUCGCAAUCCCUGCAAGCAUAGUUGUCACGGUGUCUUGGUGACAUGGAGGUCUGGAUGUAAGGUGACACCAGUGAGGCACCCACCUUGACAACCAAGGCGACCCUAGUUGUCAAGGCGCCUGGAUGCCGAGGCGGUCGCCUUGGCAAUGCCUUGACAACUAUGCCUGGAAGUAUGAGUUUUGAGGAAAAAGUAGUGAUUUAUACUGUAUCACCUUCAAGGAACAGUUCAGGUAUCUUCUUGGCUUCAAGAAAGUACAAAGGUGCCUUUAUGAUGACUGCUCCAUGGAAAAUAUAAGGCCAUUAAGAAACAGCAAAUUCUUUGGAUGUAGCACAAGUUCCAGUAUGCAUAUAUUUGUUGGUCUCAUAGGGAGAUAGAUAUUCAGCUAGGGUGAAUAUAUUCCACUAUAUUCAGGUCAAAAUUUGUCAAACAAUUCCAUGACAGGCAGCUUUUCAGCCAAGCAGGAUGGGAUAUCAAAGGGAUUUCUCCAUGAAACACCAUGAAGCAGCCGAUAAAGGAGUGGUACAGAGCAAAUUUAUGGCUUAAUACCCUAUUGAUUACAACUUAUACUUCUACAAUGUGCAUUGGAUUGAAGAGGAGCCUACUGUAGGAAUGCAGCCUUGAGGGUGUGGGGAGUUGGAAGAAGUCUAGAUGAUAUGGGAAAUUGAAGAUUUGAAUUGAUAUAUAUCAAUAACUUGAACCUGAACAUUCACAAACACCAGACCAAAUCCACAAUCCAAGCCAUUGAAACGCAAGUGUCACCCAUGUAGUGGAGAAGCUUUAAUGAAACCUGGUAUUACUUUUGGAGGCUUUAGGAAAAUUGAACUAACUGAUCUCUCACAAGCGAGUGGGAUGUUGGUUAGGGGGAGCAAAAGUGGUGGUUUCAUAAAGGAUACUUGGAUUCUAUUAUAUGGACGAUCUCCUAUUGUUUCCGCAAGAUAAAUGCAGUGGCGGAUAGGCUGGCGAAGCAUGCCACUGCCACAAGAAGUUCAAAAACCUGGGAUGUAGCUCCAGCUUUUAUUAUUUCUGAUCUGAAUGGGAGGGCCAGCAUAGGCCUCGAUUCAGGUUUAUGUAACUCUUCUUCUAAUUGCUUUGAUUUCCUGUUCAGCUAAUGGCCAUGCUGAAGGUGGAGCAGGAUCUCAAAGGGCUUACUUUUGUAAACUAUCAUUUUUCUGAUUCUAAUACAUUCUUUGCUGACCUUUAGGGGAAAAAAAAAGAGACAAUCUAGUCCAACGCAAUCUUUUGUUCUCUUGAAGACUUGACACAGUGUUAGCAUUAUUCAUUGCAUGCACUCCCCCCAUUCUUUCAUCUUUCUUUGCUAGAAUUGAAAUGCCAUUUCUCAUGCUUUAUUUGUAGUUUUAAUACUUAUAUCGUUUUGUGAUUUCAGAUUCCAUUUUGAUAUGUUUUAGGAAUCAUAUGUUGCAGGCCUUCAAUGCCAUACUCUUAAGGUUCACUCUAGUGGUGGGUCUUCCCUUGGUUACCUGUUUGGUGGUGGUGAAAAGUAAAAGCAUUAACCCCCAAAGCACAAAGCUGUUUUAUUGACUGUUCAGGACCUGUACUAGCUUGGAAGAAACAGUAUUUCAUUCUAGUAGAAAAUGCAGACAGUUUGAUCUUGCAUUGUAAAGGAAAGAGGAAUGAGGAAUGGGAUGGGUUGGUUGGACGUUUUGGGCCUUAUGGCAUGACAGACUAGCCAAUUUAAAUUUGUUCAUAGGCAUAUGGUUUUUUUUUUUCUGGAGCCUCAAUUGGAGGAUGCAAUUUAGGUGUUUUUUCACUACCAGAAACUCCCAAGUAGCUGGAAGGCAGAAUGGGCCAAAAGGAACCGGAUUCUCUCCAGCCAGCAGUCCGAUGUGCGCUGGAGAGGAUCUGGGUCCGGCCAGAAUUGCAUCAAUACAUACUAAACUGUCGUUUCAUGUAGUGUAUCAAUGACUAAAAAAAAAAAGUCGUUUCUAAUAGAUUAAAAUUAUAGCUA